rnacentral:snRNA from 2 species
AUACCUUUCUCGGCCUUUUGGCUAAGAUCAAGUGUAGUAUCUGUUUUUAUCAAUUUAAUAUCUGAUAUGUGGGCCAUCGGUUCACUCGAUAUUAACUCUAUUUUUUUAGGGAGAAAGCCCGUUAAGAUAGCUUGCUAUCUGGGUUUUCACGAAUCGCUAUCUGGGUUUUCACGAAUCGCCCAUG